rnacentral:rRNA from 1 species
UACGUAGGGUGCGAGCGUUAAUCGGAAUUACUGGGCGUAAAGCGUGCGCAGGCGGUGAUGUAAGACCGAUGUGAAAUCCCCGGGCUUAACCUGGGAACUGCAUUGGUGACUGCAUCGCUCGAGUAUGGCAGAGGGGAGUAGAAUUCCACGUGUAGCAGUGAAAUGCGUAGAGAUGUGGAGGAAUACCGAUGGCGAAGGCAGCCCCCUGGGUCAAUACUGACGCUCAUGCACGAAAGCGUGGGGAGCAAACAGG